GGUGAUGUAGGUUGGUCAUGCCUCUGGUAUGUACUGGUCUCACUGAUUCCUCCUUCCUGAUGAACCGUAAUGCCAUUAAUUUGGUGUUGCGGGGAAUUUGGACUGUUACUUUGAAAAAAUUAGAGUGUUUAAAGCAAGCUAACGCUUGAAUACAUUAGCAUGGAAUAAUGAAAUAGGACGUUCGAUCCUAUUUUGUUGGUUUCUAGGAUUGACGUAAUGAUUAAUAGGGAUAGUUGGGC
rnacentral:rRNA from 1 species